UACAGAGGUCCCAAGCGUUGUUCGGAUUCAUUGGGCGUAAAGGGUGCGUAGGUGGCGUCGUAAGUCGGGUGUGAAAUUUCGGAGCUCAACUCCGAAACUGCAUUCGAUACUGCGGUGCUUGAGGACUGGAGAGGAGACUGGAAUUUACGGUGUAGCAGUGAAAUGCGUAGAUAUCGUAAGGAAGACCAGUGGCGAAGGCGAGUCUCUGGACAGUUACUGACACUGAGGCACGAAGGCCAGGGGAGCAAACGGG
rnacentral:rRNA from 1 species